UACGUAGGGGGCAAGCGUUGUCCGGAAUUAUUGGGCGUAAAGAGCGUGUAGGCGGUUCGAUAAGUUUGCUGUAAAAGUCAGGGGCUCAACCCUUGAAUGCCGGUGAAAACUAUCGGACUUGAGUACGGAAGAGGCGAGUGGAAUUCCUGGUGUAGCGGUGAAAUGCGCAGAUAUCAGGAGGAACACCGGUGGCGAAGGCGGGUCUCUGGGCAACAACUGACGCUGAGGAGCGAAAGCGUGGGGAGCGAACAGG
rnacentral:rRNA from 1 species